UGCCCUUUGCAACUGUAAUCUGUUGAUGACCUGUGUGCAGCUUGUUACACUGCAGCUUGUCACACUGAAUGGCAGCCUGAAUAAUUUAAUAUUGAACUGUGAUUAAUCACAAGAUGAAAGCUAAGAUUGGCUGGUAGGAGGCAGUGUUCUUUGCUGCAGCAUUUCCCACCUGAGGUAAUUUUCCUUGUUCUGAAAGUGUCAAGUACAGUUGGGCAAUGUACUACGUAGGAAGAAGGGAAAGAAUCUCAAAAACAAAUAAAUGAACAAAAAAAACCCCCUUUAUAUUUGCUUGUGCAAGAAGAAGAUUGUUCUUCCACUCAACCAGGUUUUGAGAGGACAAAUUAAUUGUUUCUCUGACAACACUAUACAUUGGAGGCUGUUAAUGAUCCCGUAGUCUGUGCUAAAGGUUUCAGCUGAUUGUGUUUGUCAUCAGCUUUUACUAAAGAAAAAGCAAGCCUUCUUGGCUGUGUGGAUAUUCCAGGAACGAAACGAUUCCAUUCAUGUAGAUAAUGAUAACAGAGCCAAACCAAAAAUAUUGUCAUAUUUAUCUGCCUGUCAGGACUGUUGGAGCGCUGGAUGGAGAGCAGGUCAUAUGAAGAGGAUUACGGAGUAAAAGGCAGCUUGUACUGAAGUGCAGGGAAAGUAUAAAUAUUUAUAUAUAUUGGCACAGUGCCUAGCCUUAAUGCUUAAAAUCCUUUGGAGAGCUGUCUGCAUAUUUACUGUAUUAAUGAUCAAAUGCAAGGCUGUGUUGGGAAAGGUCUUCCAUUUGGAAGUCAGUAGUUGAGACUGUCUUGCCUAUGAAAAAGAGGGAGAAUUUUCAUUAGAGGAUGUAGGAUUCUGGCUGGUAAUAGUCUUAGUUCGAGGUAUUUUUAGAGAAUUGAUUUAACGCAAGCAGAACAAAUGGCCAGAAGUGUAAUGAGAGACAAGUUGAAAUUAGAGAGUAGAUGUGCAUUUUGAAUGUAUUAUCAUAGCAACUGAUUAAAUUCUCCCUCUCUUGCUGUUCUGGGGACCUUUUAAAUGUGCUUUGGCUAAAUAAAAAGUAUUAGACUGUUUCAGAGCCAAAAGGUC